AGUGAACGCUGGCGGUAGGCCUAACACAUGCAAGUCGAACGGCAGCACAGUAAGAGCUUGCUCUUACGGGUGGCGAGUGGCGGACGGGUGAGGAAUACAUCGGAAUCUACUUUUUCGUGGGGGAUAACGUAGGGAAACUUACGCUAAUACCGCAUACGACCUACGGGUGAAAGCAGGGGAUCUUCGGACCUUGCGCGAUUGAAUGAGCCGAUGUCGGAUUAGCUAGUUGGCGGGGUAAAGGCCCACCAAGGCGACGAUCCGUAGCUGGUCUGAGAGGAUGAUCAGCCACACUGGAACUGAGACACGGUCCAGACUCCUACGGGAGGCAGCAGUGGGGAAUAUUGGACAAAGGGCGCAAGCCUGAUCCAGCCAUGCCGCGUGGGUGAAGAAGGCCUUCGGGUUGUAAAGCCCUUUUGUUGGGAAAGAAGAGCAGCAGGUUAAUACCCCGCUGUUCUGACGGUACCCGAAGAAUAAGCACCGGCUAACUUCGUG
rnacentral:rRNA from 1 species